UACGGAGGGUGCGAGCGUUGUCCGGAAUCACUGGGCGUAAAGGCGCGUAGGCGGCCUGAUAAGUAGGGGGUGAAAUCCUGCGGCUUAACCGCAGGGCUGCCUUCUAAACUGUCAGGCUCGAGCACAGUAGAGGCAGGUGGAAUUCCCGGUGUAGCGGUGGAAUGCGUAGAGAUCCGGAAGAACACCAGUGGCGAAGGCGCCCGCUGGGCAGUGGCUGACGCUGAGGCGCGACAGCGUGGGGAGCAAACAGG
rnacentral:rRNA from 1 species